rnacentral:rRNA from 1 species
GACGAACGCUGGCGGCGUGCUUAACACAUGCAAGUCGAACGGAAAGGCCCUGCUUUUGUGGGGUGCUCGAGUGGCGAACGGGUGAGUAACACGUGAGUAACCUGCCCUUGACUUUGGGAUAACUUCAGGAAACUGGGGCUAAUACCGGAUAGGAGCUCCUGCUGCAUGGUGGGGGUUGGAAAGUUUCGGCGGUUGGGGAUGGACUCGCGGCUUAUCAGCUUGUUGGUGGGGUAGUGGCUUACCAAGGCUUUGACGGGUAGCCGGCCUGAGAGGGGUGACCGGCCACAUUGGGACUGAGAUACGGCCCAGACUCCUACGGGAGGCAGCAGUGGGGAAUAUUGCACAAUGGGCGGAAGCCUGAUGCAGCAACGCCGCGUGCGGGAUGACGGCCUUCGGGUUGUAAACCGCUUUCGCCUGUGACGAAGCGUGAGUGACGGUAAUGGGUAAAGAAGCACCGGCUAACUACGUG